rnacentral:rRNA from 1 species
CCUGCGCAAGCAGCUGACGCCUGCAUCACACAUGACAAGUCGAGCGGAGAUGAGGUGCUUGCACCUUAUCUUAGCGGCGGACGGGUGAGUAAUGCUUAGGAAUCUGCCUAUUAGUGGGGGACAACAUUCCGAAAGGAAUGCUAAUACCGCAUACGUCCUACGGGAGAAAGCAGGGGAUCUUCGGACCUUGCGCUAAUAGAUGAGCCUAAGUCGGAUUAGCUAGUUGGUGGGGUAAAGGCCUACCAAGGCGACGAUCUGUAGCGGGUCUGAGAGGAUGAUCCGCCACACUGGGACUGAGACACGGCCCAGACUCCUACGGGAGGCAGCAGUGGGGAAUAUUGGACAAUGGGGGGAACCCUGAUCCAGCCAUGCCGCGUGUGUGAAGAAGGCCUUAUGGUUGUAAAGCACUUUAAGCGAGGAGGAGGCUACUGAGACUAAUACUCUUGGAUAGUGGACGUUACUCGCAGAAUAAGCACCGGCUAACUCUGUGCCAGCAGCCGCGGUAAUACAGAGGGUGCGAGCGUUAAUCGGAUUUACUGGGCGUAAAGCGUGCGUAGGCGGCUUUUUAAGUCGGAUGUGAAAUCCCCGAGCUUAACUUGGGAAUUGCAUUCGAUACUGGGAAGCUAGAGUAUGGGAGAGGAUGGUAGAAUUCCAGGUGUAGCGGUGAAAUGCGUAGAGAUCUGGAGGAAUACCGAUGGCGAAGGCAGCCAUCUGGCCUAAUACUGACGCUGAGGUACGAAAGCAUGGGGAGCAAACAAGGAUUAGAUACCCUGGUAGUCCAUGCCGUAAACGAUGUCUACUAUCCGUUGGGGCCUUUGAAGGCUUUAGUGCCGCACCUAACGCGAUAAUUACACCGCCUGGAGGAGUACUCGUCGCAUGACUACAACUCAAUAUGACAUUGACAGGUGACCCGCCCAACUCGGUCGAGCAUGACGGCUCUAAGUAAUAUGCAUCAACGAUCAACACUCACCUUGUACUAUCGACAUACUGCAAGCAUUUGCAAGUAAAUCCGGAUGCUGACUCUGCGGGAAUACAGCAAACUAGUGCCUAGCAUGAUAUGGUCUCAGAAUGCUCUUCUCCGAAUAUAAGGGGUAAUUACGCAAUAAAGCGUAUCAAUUACCUGGCAAUGCUGCGAUACGAAUGCCCAGCUUAUGUCAAUACGUU